rnacentral:rRNA from 1 species
AUGCCUCGCGCCGGGGGAGCUCGAGUCCCGUCACCGACCGUCCGCUCUCGGCUUCGCUCACCUGUCCGUGCUUGGCGGAAUCGAGCUUUUCCAUGGUUUUGCAGUCCAACUUCAAGCUCCGCCUCCGGUCGCUCAAUGAAUCACGUGCACGCCACCCCCCGUGCUCUGCCCCUAUAUUCGGUUCGGCUGUUAGCUCCUGUUCUAGCUGACUGUACUUAUUCUGAUGCUCUGGUUGACCUUAUGCUUGCAGCUAACUGCACUUGUUCUAAUGCUCUGACUAACCUUGUGCAUGCAUCUGAGUUGGGCUGCCUCCUAUUCAAAUUCUUGCAACUUUCAAUUAUGUUUUGUUCGAAAGCUAUUUACUGUAAAGUAGUAUAUGUGCUAGCAUUUAGUAUAGCUUCCAAAAAAAUGUGGUUCAAGUUCUCAAUUUGUUUAGAAGAAGAUAGGACAGGAAAUCUUGAAUGGAAAGCUCAGAUGAGUGUGAAUGGUUUGAGUAAAUAUGUGACUGGUGGAGAUCAUUCAUGUUGA